UACGUAUGGAGCAAGCGUUAUCCGGAUUUACUGGGUGUAAAGGGAGCGCAGGCGGCUUUGCAAGUCUGAUGUGAAAGGCCGGGGCUCAACCCCGGGACUGCAUUGGAAACUGUAAAGCUAGAGUGCCGGAGAGGUAAGCGGAAUUCCUAGUGUAGCGGUGAAAUGCGUAGAUAUUAGGAGGAACACCAGUGGCGAAGGCGGCUUACUGGACGGCAACUGACGCUGAGGCUCGAAGGCGUGGGGAGCAAACAGG
rnacentral:rRNA from 1 species